rnacentral:rRNA from 1 species
UACGUAGGGGGUGAGCGUUGUCCGGAAUUACUGGGCGUAAAGAGCACGUAGGCGGGAACUUAAGUCAGGUGUGAAAGACCGAGGCUCAACCUCGGGUAUGCACUUGAAACUGGGUUUCUUGAGGGCAGGAGAGGAAAGCAGAAUUCCUGGUGUAGCGGUGAAAUGCGUAGAAAUCAGGAGGAAUACCAGUGGCGAAGGCGGCUUUCUGGACUGACCCUGACGCUGAGGUGCGAAAGCGUGGGUAGCAAACAGGAUUAGAUACCCCUGUAGUCCCUGAG